AUGUACCACUCGUACACUGCGGUUCCUGCGCGCGCGCGCACCUGCCUGACAGCCGCUCGCUACAUUUUGUUAGCC
rnacentral:sRNA from 1 species